GAGCGGCGAACGGGUGAGUAACACGUGAGCAAUCUGCCCUUCACUUUGGGAUAACUACCGGAAACGGUGGCUAAUACCGAAUACGACAACUUCAGGCAUCUGGUGGUUGUGGAAAGUUCUGGCGGUGAAGGAUGAGCUCGCGGCCUAUCAGCUUGUUGGUGAGGUAAUGGCUCACCAAGGCUUCGACGGGUAGCCGGCCUGAGAGGGUGACCGGCCACACUGGGACUGAGACACGGCCCAGACUCCUACGGGAGGCAGCAGUGGGGAAUAUUGGACAAUGGGCGAAAGCCUGAUCCAGCAACGCCGCGUGAGGGAUGACGGCCUUCGGGUUGUAAACCUCUUUCAGCAGGGACGAAGCGCAAGUGACGGUACCUGCAGAAGAAGCACCGGCCAACUACGUGCCAGCAGCCGCGGUAAUACGUAGGGUGCGAGCGUUGUCCGGAAUUAUUGGGCGUAAAGGGCUCGUAGGCGGUUUGUCACGUCGGGAGUGAAAACCAGGUGCUUAACACCUGGCCUGCUUCCGAUACGGGCAGACUAGAGGUAUGCAGGGGAGAACGGAAUUCCUGGUGUAGCGGUGAAAUGCGCAGAUAUCAGGAGGAACACCGGUGGCGAAGGCGGUUCUCUGGGCAUUACCUGACGCUGAGGAGCGAAAGUGUGGGGAGCGAACAGGAUUAGAUACCCUGGUAGUCCACACCGUAAACGUUGGGCGCUAGGUGUGGGACUCAUUCCACGAGUUCCGUGCCGCAGCUAACGCAUUAAGCGCCCCGCCUGGGGAGUACGGCCGCAAGGCUAAAACUCAAAGGAAUUGACGGGGGC
rnacentral:rRNA from 1 species